CUCCUUCUGUUUCUCAAAACGCUUGAAGAGGUCAGAGAAGGACUUCUCCAUGGAAUUCAGGUCUGUAGUAAGUUGGUCUUUUUCUUUUAGAACUUUCUGGAUUUCAGCUUUGGCAAGUUCCUUCUGUUUCUGAACUUCCUCUUGAGAAAAGAAAAACAAACGUUCAGGAUGAGGAGGCAACCGAGACGCGGGGUGCCAGAGACGGCCCAAGGAGUGAGGCAAGGUGCCUGAGUGCCAGGAGGAGAGGUGGGCAGUGGGUGUGAGCCUCAGCAGGGCAAUGAGCCCCUCCACCCGGGGUCUUCCUAGGCCUGAAGCAAGGCCCAGAAAACAGCUGUUUCCUCCACAUCAGAUUAGGGAACUGGAGCCUGGGCCAGGGCCAGGGCCCAGCAACAGAGGUCCCCGAAGAGAGGCGGCGCCCAACAUCCUAGAGUCCAGGAUGAGGCCUGGGAGCCGGUAUGGUGAACUCCAGGCUGUGGGUCGUGCUGUCGUGGUGGUCCUGGAGGGACUGCAAGGGCCAGGCAGUCACCUGUCCCCAGCUGACGCUCAGCCGAAGACAGAUCCCCGCAGUAGCACCUCUAGGAGCCCAAGCUUUUGGGAGUCCAGACCACAGACAAGACAGUUCAAGAAGGACUGAAGGACUUACAGGAACGUCCAGUGCUCCCAAGAAAUCGAACUCCACAAGCUUGGCUUCCCGCGGACUUCCUGAGGAAGGCUCAUUUGCACCGUGCAUGCUGCCACCAAGCAGAGGCAGCCUCAGUCACUCAGGUGUUGAUGCCCGAGGCCUGACUACUCUCUGUGGCAGGAGUCUCCUGGGCACCGCAGGGUGCUGAGCAGCAUCCCCGGCCUCCACCCCCUCCCUGCCAGCAGCACCCCCAGAUAGGAUCUCGCUGUCUGUCGCCCAGACUGGAGUGCAGUAGUGCAAUCACGGUUCACU